CAAAAUGCCCCUGACAUUUCCUCGAAAUAAGUGUGGUCCGCUUCCCCCAUGGGCUUCAUGAACUGGCGGGAAAGCUUUACGCUGCCUACCCUUAGGUCCAUGUGAUGGUUUGUAUACCUUACUAUACACCCUGAUCAAAUAACAAAAUAGUUUGUUCCACUGACUCUGAUAUUAUUUCCACUAAUUUAGUGGAAAUAAAACCAUGGUUAACUUCAUUUGGGGGGGGGAGGUUUUAAAAACAAACAAAUGCUUGUACUAUAUUUGCAGUGUUUGUGUGCAGGAUUACAUGCCCAAUUUUUAACCUUAGCAGAUAAUCCAGAGCUAUGUGCGGUCUGGUGCACAGAGUUGAGCCCCUGCAGAUACUACGCUGUUACUUCAGUGAGGAAGCAAUUUCUGCCUAUGCAGCCCAUUGCGUGCAUUCAGCUCCUGCCUGCAGGGAAGCGAGGCUGCUCAUGUGUGCUCCAGCACUUGCAAAUAAAAGGUUUUAGAACGGACCUUUUCAGCUAGCCUUAUUAUAGCGAUGUAGUACUGACAGCAACUUAAAAAGCAGAGACAUCACCUUGCCGACAAAGGUCCGUAUAGUUAAAGCUAUGGUUUUCCCAGUAGUGAUGUAUGGAAGUGAGAGCUGGACCAUAAAGAAGGCUGAUUGCCAAAGAAUUGAUGCUUUUGAAUUAUGGUGCUGGAGGAGACUCUUGAGAGUCCCAUGGACUGCAAGAAGUUCAAACCUAUCCAUUCUGAAGGAAAUCAGCCCUGAGUGCUCACUGGAAGGACAGAUCCUGAAGCUGAGGCUCCAAUGGCCACCUCAUGAGAAGAGAAGACUCCCUGGAUGUGAUGGCCUGGGACUCGGGCUCAGACUUGGAGCCAGAGGAGUCUCAGUCCGCACCGGAUCCUUUGCUUCAGGCAGCAGCCGAACCCAAUCUGGGGCCUGAUUCUGAAGAGCCCCAGUCUUCACAGGUUCCCCUGCAACAAGCACCAGCUGGGCCAAGUCAGGGGCCUGAGCCUGCCCUAGCUCCAGAUGUGGGGAUUACCUCGUUGCCCUCAGUUGGGCAAUCAUGUACAGCUGCUCCAGUACCAGUUGGGUUAGGAGAGGCUGAGGCGGCCUCUGGGUCUAGUAACCCACCAACAUCUCCUGAGCUGCAGAGACUGAGGUCUGAGAGAAGGAGAGACCUGGGUACUCACAGGAGGAGUGCUCGCCUUCGGGCGAGACAGGGAGGUGAGUCACCGGGGGAGCAGGACCGGCCGUUACCCCGACAGAGAUAAAAGGCUGCUGGACCUCGCCCCAGCUUGCGGGAGCAACGUUGCUGUUUGCCAGAACCUGCCUGUGAUCCUGUGCCUGACCUUGUCUGGUUUUCUGCCUUGGCCCUGUCGGACUGACUCCUCGUGGAACCCUUGGAUUCGGGACCGGACCUGGACCACGUUGCUCGGGUUACCCCCGGGCCCAGCACACUGGAAAAGACCCUGAUGUUGGGAAAGAUUGAGGGCACAAGGAGAAGGGGACGACAGAGGACGAGAUGGUUGGACAGUGUUCUCGAAGCUACCAGCAUGAGUUUGACCAAACUGCGGGAGGCAGUAGAAGACAGGAGUGCCUGGCGUGCUGUGGUCCAUGGGGUCACGAAGAGUCGGACACGACUAAACAACAAGUAGAAGUACUGAAUACCUUAUGAUGAUGAGCCUUGUUCGGCACUCAGCCACAGGAACUAUACCACUUCAGGUGUCGAAAUGAAGCUGUUUGCUCAGAAUCACGAGACAAGCCAUAAAGGAUCACAGCUAGAAACCUUGGAAGGCAUUUUCUCUCUCCCUGUGCCAGAGUUCAGAUAUGAGUUUAAUAUGUGCGGGCAGAAAAUGACUUCUGCUUGGCUCCACAAAAAGAGAUUUCCACAACUAUAGGCAGGUUCGGGGAAGACCUUCCUUUGAAGGUUUUUAGGCAACAAUAUACAGAAAGGUGCAUGAAGGCAGGAGACAAAACCAGAGGCACUGACAGGUAAACUUAUCUACCUCUCACUGCUGGCAGAAGUUGCAAAUUCUGGCUGCUAUGCUUCCAGUUUCCUAGCUCAGUUCAGUCACACGGUCAGCUCAAUCAAGCUGGGUGUAGGUGACUUGUUUCUUUUGCUGCACCGCUUUUGGUAAAUUUAAUGAGUUGUGAUAUUUAUUAGGCAAUUGGACGUGUUGAAUAUGCAGUUUCCUCAAAUGGCCUGUAGUAACACAUUAAAUGUGUGUCUCUAAAAGUACUCUGAUGCCUUGUAAACAGGAAUUGUAGCUUGUUUGCUUUCCAGCGUAAAAUUGUAGCAUUGGUUUCUCCUCCAGACCCCACCCCUUCUUCGGACUGUACUCACUGCUGCAUGUUCUCCCUCCUCCCUCCCCCCCCCUUUUUUUUUGCUUUUCAUUUACAGUGAAGGUGGGAAACAAAACCACAGCAAAAAUAGGUAUGUCAGCUAAGAGGACUUGCCACAUAAGCAGGAAAAAACCUGGGACACAAAGGCAUGUCAACUUAAUUGACCAGUACACUGGCUGACAUUGUUGUCUAGAUUUCAGCUUUAGAGGAAUUAAACGCUGUUUGCCUCUGGCCCAACUUGGAAUGGAUCUGUUCCUGCUGGUAACAAAGCCACGAGACAGAAGGGCUUGUGAACUCGUCCUUAAUUAACUAGGGCAUUUUCUUUCAAUCCUACAGGUGAUUAAGAAACUGCCUUACACCAGGUAACACUACUUAUCUCUCUAGUGUAUUCUGAUUGGCAGUCGCUCUGCAGAGCAUAUUACAGUAAGCCCUCGAUUUAUAGUCAAAACACAUCAUGGGUUCAAAGGCAGGUGGGAAAGUCUUUUUUCCCAGAUGCCCGCCUCUUUUUUGCCUCUCUUUAAAUUUUUUAACUUUUAAUUUUGCCAAGCACAUAAGGCUGAAUGUGCACAAGUUAAAUUUACAUAAAUUGCGGGUUCACUGUAUUGUAUACUGGUACUGUAUUGGCAGAAUCUGUAGACACAAGCUCUGAAGCAGCGUUUUAUCUUUUGCAUAAAUGUUUUAUUGAAACUUUUCAUCAUAUAAUACAAUGAAAAACUAAUCUGAACAAAUUAAUCUAAAUAUUUUUUUUUAAGAAAAGGAAACAAAGAGAAAGAAGGGGAAGGAAAUACAAAGCCCACUUUCAAAGGUGGAUCUUAACCCCUGUCUCACACAAAAGGGGAUGCACCCCUCCAGCCCGCAUCUGGGAGGGCUUUCUUUUCCCAUCCUUCUAUCCUGGGAGAUUUUCCCUGCCCUGCCUCUGACACAGGGUCUUUCACCAACCAACCAUUACCUUCCUGUGCGUAUCUUCAUUAACCCAGAGCAGAGGACAUAAAAAAACCCAAAUGAUAAGC